rnacentral:tRNA from 1 species
AGAGAUUUUAACUCUCACCACUGGCUCCCAAAGCCAGAAUUCUAAACUAAACUAUUUUCU